GCUCCCAUAGUUCAAUGGAUAUAACGCCGGCCUCCGAAGCUGGAAAUGGCCGUUCGAAUCGGCCUGGGAGCA
rnacentral:tRNA from 3 species